UGAAGAGUUUGAUCCUGGCUCAGAUUGAACGCUGGCGGCAUGCCUUACACAUGCAAGUCGAACGGCAGCACGGGAGCUUGCUCCUGGUGGCGAGUGGCGAACGGGUGAGUAAUAUAUCGGAACGUACCCUAGAGUGGGGGAUAACGCAGCGAAAGUUGCGCUAAUACCGCAUACGAUCUACGGAUGAAAGUGGGGGAUCGCAAGACCUCAUGCUCAUGGAGCGGCCGAUAUCUGAUUAGCUAGUUGGUAGGGUAAAAGCCUACCAAGGCUUCGAUCAGUAGCUGGUCUGAGAGGACGACCAGCCACACUGGAACUGAGACACGGUCCAGACUCCUACGGGAGGCAGCAGUGGGGAAUUUUGGACAAUGGGCGCAAGCCUGAUCCAGCAAUGCCGCGUGAGUGAAGAAGGCCUUCGGGUUGUAAAGCUCUUUUGUCAGGGAAGAAACGGUGGACUCUAAUACAGAUCACUAAUGACGGUACCUGAAGAAUAAGCACCGGCUAACUACGUGCCAGCAGCCGCGGUAAUACGUAGGGUGCAAGCGUUAAUCGGAAUUACUGGGCGUAAAGCGUGCGCAGGCGGUUGUGCAAGACAGAUGUGAAAUCCCCGGGCUCAACCUGGGAAUUGCAUUUGUGACUGCACGGCUAGAGUGUGUCAGAGGGGGGUAGAAUUCCACGUGUAGCAGUGAAAUGCGUAGAGAUGUGGAGGAAUACCGAUGGCGAAGGCAGCCCCCUGGGAUAACACUGACGCUCAUGCACGAAAGCGUGGGGAGCAAACAGGAUUAGAUACCCUGGUAGUCCACGCCCUAAACGAUGUCUACUAGUUGUUGGGUCUUAAUUGACUUAGUAACGCAGCUAACGCGUGAAGUAGACCGCCUGGGGAGUACGGUCGCAAGAUUAAAACUCAAAGGAAUUGACGGGGACCCGCACAAGCGGUGGAUGAUGUGGAUUAAUUCGAUGCAACGCGAAAAACCUUACCUACCCUUGACAUGUACGGAAUCCCUGAGAGAUUAGGGAGUGCUCGAAAGAGAACCGUAACACAGGUGCUGCAUGGCUGUCGUCAGCUCGUGUCGUGAGAUGUUGGGUUAAGUCCCGCAACGAGCGCAACCCUUGUCAUUAGUUGCUACGAAAGGGCACUCUAAUGAGACUGCCGGUGACAAACCGGAGGAAGGUGGGGAUGACGUCAAGUCCUCAUGGCCCUUAUGGGUAGGGCUUCACACGUCAUACAAUGGUACAUACAGAGGGCCGCCAACCCGCGAGGGGGAGCUAAUCCCAGAAAGUGUAUCGUAGUCCGGAUUGUAGUCUGCAACUCGACUACAUGAAGUUGGAAUCGCUAGUAAUCGCGGAUCAGCAUGUCGCGGUGAAUACGUUCCCGGGUCUUGUACACACCGCCCGUCACACCAUGGGAGCGGGUUUCACCAGAAGUAGGUAGCCUAACCGUAAGGAGGGCGCUUACCACGGUGGGAUUCGUGACUGGGGUGAAGUCGUAACAAGGUAGCCGUAUCGGAAGGUGCGGCUGGAUCACCUCCUUU
rnacentral:rRNA from 1 species